rnacentral:tRNA from 3 species
CGGGGUGUAGUUCAUCGGCAGAACGCUCGGUUCGGGACCGAGAGGCACCGGGUUCAAUUCCCGGCACCCCGA